UUACAAGCAAGAGUUGUGGAAACCUGGACAACACAAGAUUGAACGUUCCAUGGUGUCGACGACAAAAGAUACGAGAAUCCUUAUUCAGUUUACCACCAAUUGCAACGCUUUAUCCCGACAACUAAUAAAAACAUACAUCGUCAUCAACUUGAUACUCAAACCAAUUAAUAAAAUGUGAUACUUACAUUGUUAUUCAGAACUAUUAUAUUUAAUUAAAAUAAAAAUUUCACCCUAAAACGUUUGGUAUAUGUGGGUCAUUCUUGUUCUUUGCCAGGCCCAGGGUGAAAAGUUAAUGCAAUGUGACCACAUUUAGUAAUUUUUAAAUUAAAAUUACUUUCGGUAAUUUUUUGUCAUUUUUGGAAGAUUUUUGUAGCAGUAAAAUGCAGACAUGUGAUCAGGAAGUGGUAUUUUUACUGAUAAUCAUCUUUAUAAAUCAUAAAUCUUAAUGUCAUUAUGUAUAUAGUAACUUAUGCUAAACUGUAAACUAUGGCAUGUUAAAAUUUUAUACCUGGGACCGGUUGUAUAAAACUCUUAAUUAAUCACUUUUUUAAUCACUAUUUUGACAUUUUGUAGUUAAAUAGUGAUUAACUCUCAAAUAGGC